UACGGUAGGGUGCGAGCGUUGUCCGGAAUUACUGGGCGUAAAGGGCUCGUAGGUGGCCAACUAAGUCGGACGUGAAAUCCCUCGGCUUAACCGGGGAACUGCGUCCGAUACUGGAAGGCUUGAAUCCGGGAGAGGGAUGCGGAAUUCCAGGUGUAGCGGUGAAUGCGUAGAUAUCCGGAAGAACACCGGUGGCGAAGGCGGUUAGCUGGGCAGUGCUGACACUGGAGGCGCGACAGCGUGG
rnacentral:rRNA from 1 species